rnacentral:rRNA from 1 species
GACGAACGCUGGCGGCGUGCUUAACACAUGCAAGUCGAACGCAGUGUCGCACGCGUGAGUAUCGCGUAUGUAACUGCCUCAUAGCGGGGGGUAACUAUUUGAAACGAUAGCUAAUACCCCAUACUGUGAGCUGGACCUGAUUUGUAUUAGCUAGUUGGUGGGGUAAAGGCUCACCAAGGCGACGAUACAUAGCCGACCUGAGAGGGUGAACGGUCAACUGGGGACUGAGACACGGCCCAGACUCCCACGGGAGGGAGCAGUAGGGAAUCUUCGGUAAUGGACGGAAGUCUGGCCGAGCAACGCCGCGUGAGUGAAGAAGGUCUUCGGGUCGUAAAGCGCGGUUAUUAGGGAAGCGGUAACUAAACAGAAAGGGACGGCUAACUACGUGCCAGCAGCCGCGGUAAUAC